GGGGGGGGGGGGGGGGGGGAGUGUGGGUUAUGGAAUACCAGAGUUCAUUUGUGGAUUGUACAUUGUAAAGCACUAGUAUCAGCUAGUUAAUUUAUAUAUUAAAAGCUUUAGUUUUUUUUUUUUGUUGUUUUUUUAAAAAUGCUUCGUUGUUUGAAAAUAAAACAAACUUGUGCUACUCUGCAAUUUGUUUCUCUACUUGUCGUCCAAAGAUCAACAUCCUUAAAAUCAAAGUCAUAAUUUUUGUUUUUUUGUAUGAUUUAUUUAUGUACACUAUUUAUAUCAUGUACAACUUGUGACAUCAUCAAUGUGAAAUGGGUUAUAUUUUAAUAUUUACUACUUUUGGCUUUUGUUUACAUUCCUUGUGAGAUACAAUAUUCAGUUAUAUUAUAAUAUACUAUCAUUUAAGUGAUGUUGUGAGAACUCAAAUUGUUAUAGCUAUACAUUUCAUCUGAAAGUAAAAAAAAAA